AAUGACUGCUAAGAGCAAGAUAGAGUAAAAGCUAAUGUGAAGAAAUAAAACUGGGUUUAGAAAAGGUAUGGGAGAGUAUAAGGAUUGUGAGUAUAAGCUGCAGGGUUGGGACGGAUACCAAUGUGGGUUCUGUGGAGCUGAGUUUAAAACUAGAAACGAACUGACCCAACACCAGAUUGCGUACCAUAACAAACCAAGAACAGCUAACACGACAGACAUCCAGACAUCAUAAUGAGGAGUACUGCAGCAGUACAACUUUAAGAGAUCUACGUACAAAAGUACACUUUUCAAAGAUGAGAUCUAUCUAUCUAUUUACCUAUCUAUGAAUAUACUGUAUCUAAUUAACUUCUUUAUCGGUCUGUAUAGACCCUAAACCAUUGUUUAUGCAUUUUAUUAAAUUAUAUUUUUGAUAUAUUCUUUUAAAAUUAAUGUUUAUAAUAAGUUUAUUUGAAAUACAUCUACAAUAUUCAGUUAAA
rnacentral:lncRNA from 1 species